AGCUACAUGCAGUAAAUAUGUAGUGGUUUCUGCUCAAUGAUUAUUUAAAUAGCCGCAGUACCCUGACUGUGCAAAGGUAGCAUAAUCAAUUGGCUCAUAAUUGGAGUCUGGAAUGAAUGAAAGAUUAAGUAAUAACUGUUUCUUGUUAAAAAUUAAAAAUUAAUUAUAAAGUGCAAAUGCUUUAGAAUAAAUAUUAGACGAGAAGACCCUAGAAAUUUUUUGUAGGGUAAAUGAACAUUUUGUUGGGGCGACAAAGUAACAGAUAUAUAACUUACUUGUUUUAUAUGAAGUAAUUAUACAGUAAAAGUAAAUUACUCUAGGGAUAACAGCAUAAUUUUUUAAAGUUUGUGACCUCGAUGUUGGAUUAGGAAAAGUAUUAAAGUUUAAAAGAUAUAUAUUUGGGCUCUGUUCG
rnacentral:rRNA from 1 species